CGCGGUUAUUCUGGAGACGGAUGUUAUCAUGAACACAAGGUAAUCGCGGUAUCGUUUGUGUUCUCACUUCAUUCACUCAUUUUAUAUAUCAGAAAUUACAGUAAUCGAAUGAGCACGAUGGCGGAGAAUGAAUUAUUUCACAAACAAACAAUGUCUAUAAUGACGCUGAUGACUGAAACAGUUCGAGACGAGAUUCGAAAAGUUUUUGACUGUGAAUGUCGUCCAUUCCACACUGACAUUAGUUGUGACAGAGAUGCGAUAUUGGACAUGAAUAAGAACCAACGCAGACUGGCAAAGCUCACAGCUUUGAUGGAGACCUUUACCAAGGUGGCUGUUCAAAAAAUAUGUAAAGUCUUCAGUUAUUGCUUUGCGCUUAAGCCAACUCAGCUGAAGAGUUUUAAAGGUUACCAUGACGAUGUAAUAAAUGUAAAAGAGUUGGUGAAGGAGCAUGUGAAAAAAACAGAAAGAAAAAACAAUCAAACUGUCAAAGUUGUGCCUGAUUCUGCAGCUGUAGCUCCAUCAGUGUCUCUGGAGAGACCGAAUUUGCUCACUGCGUUACCUGAAGAAAACAUACAACCACAAGAUUCUGUUAAAAGCCAGCAGUGUGCAGAGGAGGGUCACGUUUCUAAAUUUCAUCCCGAAUCAUCAAGUAGUGGACAAGAGAACCCAGUGCAACCAUGUUUUAUAAGCAGCGGACCACAUCAACAUUAAAACAAUAAUUCUAGAC
rnacentral:lncRNA from 1 species